rnacentral:rRNA from 1 species
GACGAACGCUGGCGGCGUGCUUAACACAUGCAAGUCGAACGGAAAGGCCCUGCUUUUGUGGGGUGCUCGAGUGGCGAACGGGUGAGUAACACGUGAGUAACCUGCCCUUGACUUUGGGAUAACUUCAGGAAACUGGGGCUAAUACCGGAUAGGAGCUCCUGCUGCAUGGUGGGGGUUGGAAAGUUUCGGCGGUUGGGGAUGGACUCGCGGCUUAUCAGCUUGUUGGUGGGGUAGUGGCUUACCAAGGCUUUGACGGGUAGCCGGCCUGAGAGGGUGACCGGCCACAUUGGGACUGAGAUACGGCGCAGACGCCUACGGGAGGCAGCAGGGGGGAAUAUUGCACAAUGGGCGGAAGCCUGAUGCAGCAACGCCGCGUGCGGGAUGACGGCCUUCGGGUUAUAAACCGCUUUCGCCUGUGACGAAGCGUGAGUGACGGUAAUGGGUAAAGAAGCACCGGCUAACUACGUG